rnacentral:misc_RNA from 1 species
GAUGAAGAACGCAGCGAAAUGCGAUAAGUAAUGUGAAUUGCAGAAUUCAGUGAAUCAUCGAAUCUUUGAACGCACAUUGCGCCCGCCAGUAUUCUGGCGGGCAUGCCUGUCUGAGCGUCAUUUCAACCCUCAUGCCCCUAGGGCGUGGUGUUGGGGAUCGGCCAAAGCCCGCGAGGGACGGCCGGCCCCUAAAUCUAGUGGCGGACCCGUCGUGGCCUCCUCUGCGAAGUAGUGAUAUUCCGCAUCGGAGAGCGAUGAGCCCCUGCCGUUAAACCCCCAACUUUCCAAGGUUGACCUCAGAUCAGGUAGGAAUACCCGCUGAAUUUAAGCAUAUCAAUAAGCGGAGGA